UAGGGAAUCUUCCGCAAUGGACGAAAGUCUGACGGAGCAACGCCGCGUGAGUGAUGAAGGCUUUCGGGUCGUAAAACUCUGUUGUUAGGGAAGAACAAGUGCUAGUUGAAUAAGCUAGCACCUUGACGGUACCUAACCAGAAAGCCACGGCUAACUACGUGCCAGCAGCCGCGGUAAUACGUAGGUGGCAAGCGUUAUCCGGAAUUAUUGGGCGUAAAGCGCGCGCAGGUGGUUUCUUAAGUCUGAUGUGAAAGCCCACGGCUCAACCGUGGAGGGUCAUUGGAAACUGGGAGACUUGAGUGCAGAAGAGGAAAGUGGAAUUCCAUGUGUAGCGGUGAAAUGCGUAGAGAUAUGGAGGAACACCAGUGGCGAAGGCGACUUUCUGGUCUGUAACUGACACUGAGGCGCGAAAGCGUGGGGAGCAAACAGG
rnacentral:rRNA from 1 species